rnacentral:lncRNA from 1 species
UAUCCAAGACAAAAAUUUGUGAUUCUGAAAAAUCUAUAUUCUUCCUUCUAGUCUCAUUCUCAAGUAAACUAGCUUUAGUCAUACUCAUUGUUACUACUCCAUUUGGUACCGAGUUAGUGAGAGCUACUACCAAAGUCUCAUAACUAUCCAGAAAUGAACUUAAGAGUAGUAAUGCAUGAAACUCAUCUUCCAACACCAUUUUCAUGGUUGCAAGUUGAUUCAUCAUACUUUGCAUCUC